ACAAUGUCAUAUUUAGCACAUCUGUGUCAAGCUGCGGCCGAGUCACGGAAGUACGGGAGGCAGUACUGAGUGUUAGGUUUCUUUUGUGGUUUGAAAAAUUCCUUCUGCAUUCUCUUUUGGGGCGGCUGGGCAGCUUUUGUUCUUGGCUGCACAACGGUGGCCUUGAUGCGCCUUUGAAUAUCCUGGAGAAAGAGUGACCUCUUGUGGACAACUCACUAAUUGCAGAUUCAGGAAGUGAUCAGAUUUCCUAAAAGGCCUUAUGUUUGAAUACUCUUGGUAGGAAACAUGAAUAAAAAUUUAAGGCCCUCUGAAUUCAAAGAACAUGCUUUUCUGUUAAAAGAUAAAAUGGCUUGCUUUAGAUUCUAUGGGACCAGGUAAUCUAUUAUUUAAUAGUGUUUCCUAAGACGGUGUGGCUUUUCUUACAGCCCAAACUUCAUUUUUAAAAGCUAACGAUUGCAGGGGUGGGGUGGAGGCGGGGGCUUUGUGGUAAAGCUCUUAUCUGACAUGCAUAAUGCCCUGGGAUUGAUUGUUAGCACCACUACCCCGACCACGCCCAUACCACACAUGUACCACAUUUAAUGCCUUUCCUCUGGUCCACAGAGCAAGUUCCGGGACGACCAGGGCUACACAGAGAAACCCUGUCUUGAAAAAACUGAAGGAGGAGGAGGAGGAGGAGAGAAAGAAAGUAGAAAUGAGAUAAAUGACGGGCCUGUGGGACAUUUACUUUCCACAGAGACAGCUGGAUCUCUAUAGGGAUCUCUAUAGGGAUCACAUCUCUAUAGGACUCAGCCUUUUUCUUUUCUCAGUGACUGGAGAUCUACACUGGCAGACUUUGGAGGGUGACCUGGAAAUCCACCAGGUUUUCUGUUAGUGACCCCAAAAGGCCGUGUGGAAAGGAUAUUUCUUUACCGAGACCAUUUGGUUUCUUCUAAGUGUAAAAAGGAACUUGAUGCUGGAAUGUGAUUCUGUGGUGGAGGAUUGCCCAGCAGCUGGAGGCCCUGGGUCCCUCCUUCUCACUUCAGGACAGGAACGGGUGCACCUGAGGAGCCUUCUAGUUCAGGAACCAGCUUUGGACCAACAGCUUAAGCCAAACAAGGAAUCAGGGAUGGACCAACACAUAUGAGAGAAGUUGGAGGAGAGGAAGAGCAAAAGCAAAGAGAAAAAGCUGGUGAAAAACCCGGAUUCCCCAGAAAUUAGCAUAAUCUUGGGGUAUCAAGUGACUUAACAAUUAAAACUCCUUUGAGAAGUAAAUAAACCAAUCAUGGUAUAGUCA
rnacentral:lncRNA from 1 species